rnacentral:lncRNA from 1 species
CAUUGUGGUGAAAAUGAGAAGAUUGUUAAUCUCAUCAGCACCAAUGAGCAUGUUUUUGUACCAUAUAAAGGGAGUAAUUUUGAUGUUGAAAAUCUGCAAAGCAACUGCUGGCACCACCCAGCAGCGAUGUGGUUCUAUUUUUCCACACAGAAAUGCUCGCAAGUAGGCUGAUUUUGCUUAAAAACAAACAUGUUUAACUUGAAAUUGCAUUUCAUUCACUUGAGACAACUUUAGACUGCACAAGAGAGUAUUUUUGCUUGUUUUAUCACGCGUUCAAAGAGGUGCCGUGGCACUGCCGGCGAGACGGUCGCGUGCUUGCCUACGGCAGAGAAAAGCGAGUGCUGCGUCUGGCGCCGGUCUAAAAAAGAAAAAAAUGUCUUCGGCAAGAUAACUGACUUCAGUAAAUUUUCAAACCUUGCCCGUGGGUGCAAUGUCAUCUAGUAAUGUUGCACGAGCCUUUGUGCCUAAAGUGCACAACAGUAUUUACCAAAGUUCUACAUUGGAGAACAUUUUGCCAUCACGUUUCGCUUAAUCGUGUUGCCCAUGCUGGCUCUCAUCCCAUAUGCAAAGCAGAACACCUAAACAUAACUGCAAGACAGCAGGGACCUUCUGCUGUUUUGUGAAGGACAUUUCAUGUUUGUUUUAGUCACAUGCACACUUGGCAGGAGUAAAACCACUACAGUUCGUUUCACAAUGCUGGCGUACCAGUGUUGCUGGAACAAACUCUUCCCCUCAACUGUGGUGGUUUUUGAGGCUAACUAAACAAAGCUGGAGAAACUUCGGUAAUACAUUAUCUGACAAUUUCUACGCUUUAUACAACCAGUACGGUGUAUGUAGUAUUAUUAGUGAAGGCCUUGCAAAAACUGCACACGGUUUCAGUUUUAGACUUUCACACCAUUGUGAUCACGUUCACCAGUCAUUGUUCUGGGCGUUCAUCACUCCGAUGGAAAAAGACUGAAUGCAGAAUAAAAAAAUUCUUUCUCAGGAUUUCUACACACUUGCCAGAGAAGCCGUUGGAAUGUUGGACACUUCAGACGUAUGCUUUUUAUUGCGGUACAAAGACAGCAAAGCAGUGGAGGACUAUCAUAGUCACUUGAAAGUGAAAGACUUACUUGGGGUGCUGCCUUGCAUUCUGGCCUUCAGAGCUUGCAUUUGAAUGACUGAAUUACUUAUGAGCCCAGACUCGGAGAGUACACUGCACUUGUUUGCGCUUGUUUGAUCAUGAACCUUUACCAACACGCCCAACUGGCAGUCACCCUACAUACUUAUCAGCACUAAAUAAAGCUAGAAUAGAUUUAUCGUCAUUGUACCCUACCCACCAGAAGCUUCAGAUGGUCUCGUCUAGCCUCUCGAUGCCCAUGGGGUGUGUGAAAAAUGAUGCAAACAGACAGUUUUUAUUUCACUUGUGUAUUUAUUUGCUUAUUUGUAAAUAAUAAAAUCAGCAAUGUUCAUUUUAAUGAGUUUGGUACAGUAAGGACAUAAUAGUAAUACACUGUUAAUACAAAAUAAUUGAACUCUCUCUUUUUUUUUCUUGCAAAUGGUGCUUUCAUUCCUUAUUGAGCCACCUUUGCUGCUUCUCAGCGCACAAGCUCCGCCAUCCAUUGCCACGCACCCCCACAAGGCAGUCCUACAUGCCCAUGAAGCAUAGAAAAAUGUGAGCCAUGUUAACUCAAUACUGUGUGCCCACAGUUGACAUGCAUCUCUAUGUGCAGUACCCUAUAGGUGUGCUUCUUGCCGAAAAUAUAGCUGGUAAGCUUAGUGAUCAGAAUCCGUCAUCUACAAUGCACUUUUCAUAGUGUUGUAUGCAUUAUGUCUUGGGGUCCUCUUUAUUGUGCUGCUUGUGUGCUUCUCUGUGUGUUCAAUUUCCUGCCUUCUUUUUGACUUGUACUAUAGUUCUGAUACAUCUAGGAUUGCUGACUGUUUCCAUUUCCUCAUAUUUCCUUGAAAAGUUCUGCGAAACUAGAAUAAAAAUUGACUUGAAAGCAGGUCACAGAACUCGAUACUUAAAAACACUUUGGUAUCUUUCCUACUUGCAGGCUGGCCACCAAAAACAGUGUGAACCUCGGUGCUAAGGACUUGAAUGCCACUGGGUUGUAGUGCCACCAACAGCGAGGAGAUUGCAUCGCGAUGGAAAAAGAGGAUGCGCGUGAUCACGUGCGAUGCAGCAGCAAUACUGGAGCGAGGGGGACAGAAAAUAAAGAAACCAUUGGUUGUGUGAAAACCUGUCGAGUCUUUUUCUCACAUGUGCUACACAAGGCUGGCCACCAAAAACAGUGUGAACCUCGGUGCUAAGGGCUUGAAUGCCACUGGGUUGUAGUGCCACCAACAGCGAGGAGAUUGCAUCGCGAUGGAAAAAGAGGAUGCGCGUGAUCACGUGCGAUGCAGCAGCAAUACUGGCGCGAGGGGACAGAAAAUAAAGAAACCAUUGGUUGUGUGAAAA